GGGGUAGCUUUAGUACUUAGGCGCCAUGGAUGGCGAAUCGUACAUGCUACUGGCACAGGUUAGUAGUAUCUCUGAAGAUUCCCACCUC
rfam:Glossina brevipalpis unplaced genomic scaffold Scaffold15, whole genome shotgun sequence.